rnacentral:RNase_P_RNA from 1 species
GAAGUCAGCCAGACCGCCGCUGCCCGCCUCACGGCGGGGAGAGGAAAGUCCGGGCUCCGCAGAGCAGGAUGCCGGGUAACGCCCGGCCGCUAUAAGUCGCCGCUCGCGCGGCCGAUGAAGGCGAGGAACAGGGCCACAGAGACGAGUCGCUCCGUUCGCGCAAGCGCGCGGGGCGGGUGAAACGCGGCAACCUCCAUCCGGAGCAACACCAAGUAGGCGGACUACGAUGCUGCUCGCAGAGUCCGCGGGUAGGUGGCUUGAGCCCCCCGGCAACGGAGGGCCUAGAGGAAUGGCGGUCAUAGCGCGGGACGGAGUGCCCGCGCCGUAACAGAACCCGGCUUACCGGCUGACUUCGACU